AUUAUACCCUCUCCGUUUGUAAUUACUUGUCACGAAAAUGAAUGUAUCUAGACGCAUUUUAGUUAUAGAUACAUCUAUUUUUAUCCAUUUUUAAAACAAGUAAUUUGGAACGAAGGAAGUAUUAG
rnacentral:pre_miRNA from 1 species